UGGGUAAUAUUGGACAAUGGGGGGAACCCUGAUCCAGCCAUGCCGCGUGUGUGAAGAAGGCCUUAUGGUUGUAAAGCACUUUAAGCGAGGAGGAGGGUACUGGUAUUAAUACUACCAGGUACUGGACGUUACUCGCAGAAUAAGCACCGGCUAACUCUGUGCCAGCAGCCGCGGUAAUACAGAGGGUGCGAGCGUUAAUCGGAUUUACUGGGCGUAAAGCGUGCGUAGGCGGCUAAUUGAGUCGGAUGUGAAAUCCCCGAGCUUAACUUGGGAAUUGCAUUCGAUACUGGUUAGCUAGAGUGUGGGAGAGGAUGGUAGAAUUCCAGGUGUAGCGGUGAAAUGCGUAGAGAUCUGGAGGAAUACCGAUGGCGAAGGCAGCCAUCUGGCCUAACACUGACGCUGAGGUACGAAAGCAUGGGGAGCAAACAGG
rnacentral:rRNA from 1 species